GCGGGCUACACAUGCAGUCGACGGUAACAGGAAGCAGCUUGCUGCUUCGCUGACGAGUGGCGGACGGGUGAGUAAUGUCUGGGAAACUGCCUGAUGGAGGGGGAUAACUACUGGAAACGGUAGCUAAUACCGCAUAACGUCGCAAGACCAAAGAGGGGGACCUUCGGGCCUCUUGCCAUCGGAUGUGCCCAGAUGGGAUUAGCUAGUAGGUGGGGUAACGGCUCACCUAGGCGACGAUCCCUAGCUGGUCUGAGAGGAUGACCAGCCACACUGGAACUGAGACACGGUCCAGACUCCUACGGGAGGCAGCAGUGGGGAAUAUUGCACAAUGGGCGCAAGCCUGAUGCAGCCAUGCCGCGUGUAUGAAGAAGGCCUUCGGGUUGUAAAGUACUUUCAGCGGGGAGGAAGGCGAUAAGGUUAAUAACCUUGUCGAUUGACGUUACCCGCAGAAGAAGCACCGGCUAACUCCGUGCCAGCAGCCGCGGUAAUACGGAGGGUGCAAGCGUUAAUCGGAAUUACUGGGCGUAAAGCGCACGCAGGCGGUCUGUCAAGUCGGAUGUGAAAUCCCCGGGCUCAACCUGGGAACUGCAUUCGAAACUGGCAGGCUAGAGUCUUGUAGAGGGGGGUGGAAUUCCAGGUGUAGCGGUGAAAUGCGUAGAGAUCUGGAGGAAUACCGGUGGCGAAGGCGGCCCCCUGGACAAAGACUGACGCUCAGGUGCGAAAGCGUGGGGGAGCAAACAGGAUUAGAUACCCUGGGUAGUCCACGCCGUAAACGAUGUCGACUUGGAGGUUGUGCCCUUGAGGCGUGGCUUCCGGAGCUAACGCGUUAAGUCGACCGCCUGGGGGAGUACCGCCCGCAAGGUUAAAACUCCAAUGAAUUGACGGGGGGCCCCCACAAGCGGUGGGAGCAUGUGGUUUAAUUCGAU
rnacentral:rRNA from 1 species